AAAUGGUAAACUGCUAUAAGUUCUUACCACACUUAAAAAUAAAAUUAAAACAAGAAAAGCCUUCAAUACCAUCAUCUAUUUAUAGCUUUAUAUGUACCUGAGAAAAUUUAAAUGCAUACGUUUGUUGAUAUAAACAUGUAUUUGACCUAUUCAUGCGUAGACAAAUGUAUGGCUCAUUUGUGGACAAAUAACCACCUCAUCUUUAUAGUAAGGAGUACAGAAUAUGAAAUUCCCAGGCCAGGGAUCAGAUCCAAGCUGCAGUUGUGACCUAUGGUGCAGCUGUGGCAGCACCAGAUACUUUAACCCACGUGCCAGGCCAGGGAUCCAAUGUGCAUUCUUGGCGCUACAGAGAGGCCUCUGAGAUCCCAUUGUACCAUGGCAGGAACUCCUAUAUUUAUAUUUUUAAAUAAAAUAUUUAAGUUGGUUUUAGAGUAAAAAGCUUAAAUACAUAUAUAGAAAUAAUAUAAUUUCAAUAAUUAUAACUAAAAUACAUACUAUUAUUUAAAUAUAAAACAUAUUUAGCAGGGUUUAAAGAAUAUAAAUAUUUUGCAGAAUGAUGAACUGAAAAAUAGAAAUAAGAUUAUUUGUAAUCAGAAUAAGUUUUUAGAGAGUUGAAGUAAUUUUCUACAUAAUUUAAAAAUCACUGCUGUUGAAAAGCAUUCUUUGCACUGAUUAAUCCCUGUUCACAGUCUACAUUGAUCAAAUCCAUUGGACAAUUGUAUAAUUUCUUCUUCACCUUUACUCUAUAGCCAGAGAAUGAGUUUAAUCCUCUCAUAUUAAACAAAUCAACUUGAGAAUUCCAACUUUUGUUUAUUAUCCGUCUAUUGCAAUGAGUAAUAUCUGACCACAGUUAACUGAUUUAUCUCUUUAUUUCUUUUUAACUCUUCCUGAUAACAAGGAUUCUAUCAUGUACUGAGGAUGAAGACAUGUUUCUUAAGAUAUUGAGACCCAAUUCUUAAUUUUUAGAAUCUACUGUUUUUGUGUGUAUGAGACAAAAGCUGUACUGUAACAUUUCCCUUAUACUCAACCCCAUCUCAUCAGUAGUAUACAAAAAAUAUAAAGGAGAAAAAUUUUUAAAUUACCUUUCAGGAGUAAUUAUUUUCCAACUGCCUGUUGGAAUGAGUAUGGGACACAAUGUCUAACAUGGUGCUAGCCUAUGGCCUCCAUGUAAAAAGUGAACCUGAAUUCAUUUUCUCAGAAUAUAAAAGGCACUUGAUCAGGACCAAGGCAUUACAAAAGAAAUAGGGUUUCUAUUUGCAAGGAACUUGCAGUCUAGAGAUGAAGGAAGCACAAAAAUUUGCAUAUAUAUACAUAUUCUUCAGUGUAUAUAAGUAGUCUUUGAUAGAUUUCUGUAUCAUUUCUAUUAAUUAGGAAUAUUAUACACACACAUUAUAAAACAUUAAUGGGUGUAUGUAUAUAUAUGCACACAACACAACAAACUCAGCAACAAUAAAUUUUAUGUGAUGAGCAUAUAUCACUUCUAUAUUUGAAAACUACUUGGUUAAUAAUAUGAAUGCUUAAUAUGUAUUUAAUAAGCACAUAAUAAGGUUUUUAGGUUAUGUGUAGUCUUUUAUAUAUGUGGAUCUUGUGAUGGGGAAUAUGCACAAGUGGUACAAAGCAAGUGCCACGGAUCUCAAAGGGAUAGAUUUUUCUGUUAGAGGACUGGGGACUCAGGAAAGUUCCUGUUAUCGAUACAUAAGGUGGCCAUUUGAGCAGUAUACUAUAAUCAAGACUAUAAUCUCUUCUCUUGAUAUCAAGAUGAUGACCUAUCUGCCCUCUGGGAGUCCUUUUAUAUCACUCAUUAGUAGGAGCUAAUUGAAAACAUCCCAAGUUUAUGAGGUUUCGUAGCUCCCACCCUUCCAGAAAAUACUGUUUUGGGUAUCUAGCUUUGUACUCUUUUAAGGAAAGUGCUGCUUUCAGCUUUAGGGGGUUUGAAAAUAAAAUGUCUGAUAAUAAAUCAUCAGAGCAUUUCCAAAUCAUGAGAGUGGUGACAGUGGCCUUAGGAUUCCUGUCUAGAUUAGUUUAUUUUCCCCUAGAAUAAACAUUGAAACCAAAUGUGAGUUUUGCAAUAGAGGCAACCUUGUGUACAGGAAAUAGCAUGGAAUUUGAAAUCUGAAGACCUGGUUUGAGUCACAUCUCCCCCUCUGCCUAAUGGAGUGGUGGAGAACAAGCCAGUUAACUAUAUUUUCCCCAUAUCAUUCACUCAUUCAGUCAACCAAUAUUUACUGCCCACCCUGCCACGGUGGGCACUAGAAAUCAGUAAAGAGGAAAGAAAAAUCCAAUGCCUCUAUAGAUCCUAUACCUUUGUUGCAGAUGUAGCAACGACAUCAAAAUGACUAAAGAUUUACAUAAUUUUAAGGUAGUUAAAAGUGCCUGCAUAGAAAUUAGAUGUAGUAGGGGAACAGAAUGUGUAGGGAUGGGCGGGAGUGGAUUGGAGGAGGAAGUUGAUGAGCUGGUCUGGGAAAGACUUUCUGAAGUUGUGACAUUCAGGCAAAAACUGAAUCUAAGGGCGUUAAUGCUUCAGGAUGGGAACCCUGAAAUGGGAAAUACAGUUGCAAAGGCCAGGGUUGAGGAAAGAACAUCAGGUCCAGGGGAGCUAGAGUGGGUGAGAAAAACAGGGAACUGAAGGAGAUGAAGUCAAAGUGGUUGCAUUGACCUUAUCACCAGAGCCGUCUCAGAGAGGAACAGUGAACGAGGACAGUCACAGGGUACCCACUGACUCAUUCUGCAAGUGUUAGAAGCUAGCAAGGAAAUGGAGCCCUGGUGUCCUUCUCAUUGUUCAUAGCCACCUGCCUUGACCAAGUAUCUGUGUUUGGGCAGAAGAGAAUUUGGCAGUUGACAUUUUCCUUGGGAGAACUUGACAGCACCAGCCAAUUUGGGGUUCAGAGGCAGUUACAUUGUGUUCUAUACAAGGUAUUCAUUUCUUGAGAAAAAUCCAUUUUAGUUAGUAGCUGGCCAGGACAGACCAACAGCUUGUCCCUUCAUGCAGUAAGCACUUGGUGCACAAGUGUGCACUUUUGCUCUUCACCCUUGGACUGUCACAUACAAGAGCAACUCUCUGAUAACACAAGAAAACUGGAGGGAACCUUUCAUAUGCAUGGCAUGGUUUAAAGAAAGUUCUAUUUCUAAAUAUAUGUAGUAGUGCACGGACAACACAUCAUUUUACCUUUACUGUGCCCCUUCCUUCUGGGCUCAACUGCAUAUCUUGCAUCUGAUGUCAUCUCUCAUCUGCUUAACAUUUGGAGAGGUAUGAUCACUAGAGAAUGGUGUGGGAAACCAGGCUCAGACAUAAUCGCCCUUUCCCACAGACAAAAAGGGAGUAAGACUCAGUCAGUUUAGCCUUUGACAGCAUAAUGCAGGGUUGUCAGACUGGCCUCUCUUCCCAGAUCAUCACCUCCCUCCUGCUACUCUGCUAUUAGCGUUGACCUCGUUGCUCUUUCUGCUGUCACUGCUCCUCUGCCUACCUCCUCCUGCUGUCCCAGAUCACACUCUACUUUCCUGGGGCCAAUUCUCUGCCCAGAAGUGUGGGAAGAGGAGGGAGAGGCUGCGGUGCUCAUUUUCCAGGGCUACAGUCGUCUCAGUGUCUUGGUGUGGAAAUACCUGCCCAUCCACUGGCCUCCAGGCACCACGGUCCAAGAACACAGACGCUUUCAUAAGCAUCGGGCUUGCAGAGUGCAUGUGAAACCUACGCAAGUUCAAAUGGGCUUGAAAGGUUUUCAAAUAUGCUUUCCCAUCGCUAAUCUGCACAUUCAUCUGCACAUCUGGCUUGGAAAAUCUCAAGCCACAAGAUCAGCUCUUCUUAGGGUGACUGGUUUGCCACUGUAAUAAAGCCAAAUGCGAACAUGGGAGAAGUGGCUGUGAGAGGCAACUCCCAUCCCACUGACUGCCCUCUAGACAGGAGAUCUUCAUUAUGAUGAUUUUUUUUUUUGAGUUUCUGUCACUUAGACAACAUUUAAAGUGGUAUCUUAAUAAAUUGGGAGAUGAAAUGUCAGUCACCAUCCCUCAAUAUUUCAAGCACACACUGCUUUGUACAUGUAACUGAUCAUAAAAGGAAGCCAACCUCUCCAUUAGCCACUCAUCUAGGCAAAGCCUUGGUGUUGAGCCAGAACUUAAGAGUACCAACUCAAUCUUCUAUGUCCCACUGAUCUUCCUGGAUUGGAAAUGGAUGGCUAUCCCAAAGUGCACUACUAGGUGUUGGUUGCUAAUUGGAAGAGUCAUCAGAAAUCUUCCUUGAAACAGUGAUUGGGUAAGUCAUUUGGAUAUUGCUUUCAGCUCUGUUUUUUUGUACUGAGAGUUGAUGUGUUGGUUUCCCAAGAGCUAGCUUUUAAAUACACUUGCUCUUGUUUUCAUCAUGAACAUAAUCAGAUUUGUUUCUGCUUUGGAAAACUCUACCACCUGAAUCUGCAGUUGUUUUAUACAGGUGAAAUCUGAUCAAACAAUUCGUAGGGGUAAAAUUAAAGAUCCAGAGAUGGUUGGUUUGCUUCCUGGAGGACAGGAGCAGAAUGGUCCAUAUUUCAGGCUACCAGCAAGGGUCUUCCUAUGUGUUUGAUGAUUAUAUAAGUCUCUAGGAAUUUUUUUUUUAUGUCAACAGCUUGUGGCUACUUUCUUCUCUCACUCUCAUUCUUCCACUAUGUUAUUACUUUCCUGAAAUUUCAGUCCCUUGGUCAAUGGUAGGACCACCAGGAGUACAAGUUCUGACUUUAUAGGUAUAGAAUCUUCCAACCCAUGCAUCUUUAGACUUGAACUCUUCCCCCUGCUCAAGUCAUUCCAACAGUCAUUUACCAAAAGUCAGCUUAUAUUAGCAGUGGGACUAUAAAUAAAAGAUUUUAGACCUAGGUACAUUUUGGUCCCUACCUUAGUGGGUGUUCAAGUCUAGAAGAAGAGACAAAUACUUACAAGAUACUUUUAAUAAUUUCAAUAUAACAAGUUAAACAGUGAACUAGAAAUUUGCAUCCUGUGCCAUGAGGAUUCAGAGAAGAAUCCUACAGCUCAGCUUGGGUUUCAGGGAAGAUUUCUCAUGACAGAUUAUAAAUAAAUUGGGUGUUGAAGAAUAGGUAACUUUAAGAUAAGUGGGACAAGUGUUCCAGAUGGAGGGACAAGUGUAAGCAAAGACAGAGAGUGAUAAAAUGGCACAGGAUCUACAGGGAAUAAUAAACAGUUGAUAUUAUUUAAGCAUUGAGUGUGAGUCAAGAAGUAAUGAAUAAUGAUAUUGUAGAGGUUAGUGGAUAAGUGCCAGACACCAAGGGUCUUGUGGGCUAGGCAAAAGAACCUGAAUUCUACAGGUGAUGCGUAGUCCUUGAAUGUAUUUAAAUGGGGAAUAAUGUCAGAUUUAAAUUUUAGAGAGAUAAUUUUCAAAAGGUUUUGAAGUGUGGAUCCAAGGGGAUAAUACUGAAGACGGAGAUGAGUCAUGAGGCUAUUGGGUCCAGCAGAGAGAUGAUGAGUGGGCAUAAAGAGAGAGGAUAAAGUUGAGAGAUGCUGGACAUGGUGAUGAUUGGUUGAUUGGGUGUUGAGAAUUAAGGAAGAAGAAGUUGAGAUGAACUCAGAUUUCUUCAUUGUGAUGGGGAAAAUAAUGCAAUUGGAUUAAGCAUUAUAGAUGAAUGAGUGUGUUCAGAGGUGCAAUUACUAUAUGAGAGUCAGUGGAGCAGAGAGAAUCCAUGGUGCCAGAAUCAUGGAUACUGUAUCCAGUAGUGAUUUGCAGGACUGAUUUGAGAUUUCAAGGGUAGGAUUUUUAAGGUGCAAAAGCAGCUCAGCCUGAAGCUGAGAUAAAAACUUUUGGAAAGAAAAAAUAUGAAAUACCCAAAGAAAAUUCUCUGAUUUGAAACUGUUAAGAAUGGUGUUCUCCCCCGACCCCCACUCUCCCACCCCCAACCCUUGACAUUUUGUAGUCACUGUAACAUCAAAAAUGUGUUUCCUGUAAGUCCAAAUUUCCAUUGACAGCACCACAAAAAUUUAUUCUUAAAGCAUCCCUUGCUUAUCUCCAUGUUUUUCCAUUUAAUGUCAUGGAAAACUGGUCAGAAUGAAAUUUCCUUUCCACCUUCCACCUUGUAAUUUCCACUUCUUUUAAUCUCUCUGUGAUUCUGUCAGUGACCAUAUAUGUAUAUAUAAAAGCAUACCUUGUUUUGUUACUCUUUGUGGGCUUCGCAGAUGUUGCAUUUUUUACAAAUUGAAGGUUGGUCGCAAGUCUAUCGCUGAGAUUUUUUCCCAGCGGCAUUUGCCUUCUUCGUGUCUCUCUGUCCCAUUUUGGUAAUUCUUGCAAUAUUUCAAACUUCUGUAUUAUUAUUGUAUUUGUUAUUGUGAUCUGUAAUCAGUGAUCUUUGAUGUUACUAUUGCAAAAGGUUACGACUCACUGAAGGCUCAGAUGAUGGUUAGUAUUUUUUAGCAGUGAGGUAUUUUUGAAUUAAGGUAUAUACUUUCUUUAGACAUCAUGCUACUGCACACUUAAUAUACCACAGUAUAGUAUAAACAUAACUUUUUUUUUUCUUUUCUGCUUUUUAGAGCUUCACCUGGACACAUGGAAGUUCCCAGGCAAGGGGUCUAAUCAGAGCUAUAGCUGCUGGCCUAUGCCACAGCUACAGCAAAUGCCAGAUAUGAACCGUGUCUGAGACCUACACCACAACUCACAGCAAUGCCAGAUCCUUAACCUACUGAUCGAGGCCAGCGAUCAAACCUGAAACCCCAUGGUUCCUAGUCAGAUUCGUUUCUGC
rnacentral:lncRNA from 1 species